CUCUCUCUAUCGUGAAAGUCAAUACGAUGGAUACACUAAUGGUAUCUGUAUCACUGUAUGUAUGCGACUGCAUCUGAUACCUGCAAGAGUCAAGCUACUACUACUUCCCUUGCUCCGCAACCUCAACAUCAACUGCAAACCUUUAAUACCAACUGGAUCAAGGAAGUAUUUACAAGGGCGCGAACCAAUAUGCUCGGAUAGCUAUGAUCCUAGUUCACAUCCUCUGCAACGACGGGUUAACAUUGUUUUCUAGUGAGAUUUCUUGACGCCUCUCCUGGGCACCUGAACGAUCUCAAAACUCUGCUGUAAAUUUCUAGAGAGUGGAAUAAGCAAUUACAAUAGGUGGACAGAGCUGGAGGCUUCAAAAUCAUUGAACUUUUUUAGCAUCAGUAAAUGAUUUGGAUGGUGGAGAGAGAAGACUUGAGGAGCUUCUUGGAUGGCAUGCAGUGGGCUAUGAUAAUAUUUGCAUAUUAUUCUAUGUUGUCAAUAUGGCUUAUUCUACUAAUUCCAAGGGUAGAGAUUACAUGUGUUGGAACUUUUGGUUGUGGGUUGUUGAUGAUGCUCUGCCAAUCUCAGGUCGUCAAUGGCCUUUCGUGUGGAGAUGUCGUGUCUGCUUCGAAUCCUUCGUGUUGGGAGACGGACCUCCGAAGUCCAGUGAUGGUUGCUGCUCAGGUCUCAUAGAGUCUCGAUUUUUUUCUGAGUCGUGUCUAUCACCGUUAAUGGGUUCAACAAAAAAGGAAUACCAAGCGUUCUACAGGUAAGCUAAUCUCAGUUUACUAUUUUUUGUUCUAAAUUUGUUUGGCAUGGAGUUGUAUGUUAACCGCGUGAGAAGUUAAAAAAAUAUAAUCAUGUUGCAUCAUGAUAUUUGUUAUAUACUCAUUGGCUGUUCACACUAAUUAACCAUGCAAUUUCAUAUAGGAGAGGCAUGCAUUUUAUCUUACUAAAUUUUAGAUGACAAAAAAUAUUCAUAAUUUUGAUGUGUCUUUUGUCUGGUGUGGAAUGUCGAGCAUUGAAAUAGGUGAAAGUUACGAGUUUACACUCAGGACAGAAAUACUAUUGUACCCAUAUUACAACACCUAUAUUGUAACUCACAGAAAAAGAUAGGGGAGAAGUUUGUCAAAUUUUGCUUCAAAGGAACCCUUCUGUGUGGGAGAGUCGGGUGGGGAUUGUGAGUGCUUACUUGCACUUGAACUUGCAGCGUAAGGAGAGUUCUUUGGCUUUCGAAAGUUUAAAACUGUUCACAGAAAAAUUCUUGAUGCAGUUGCACGCAUCAGCUUGGGUCUUAGCUAAGCUUCCGCAGCAUCCAUCACCGGCCUUUGGGGGCAAACCAUUUCCAACCAAGAAGCCUUCACAAGGUUUGAAUAUAGAUCCACACGAGAGGCCAUUAACUGCCGGAGCUGCUAAGAUCAUCAACACGAUUGCCGAAGUCUUCAAGGUAGAGCUAGC